AAUAUGUAUAAGGAUGUGAAGGGAAAUUUUUGGUGGCCUGGUAUGAAAAGGGAAAUCGCAGAAUAUGUCAGCAAGUGCGACACUUGUCAGAGGGUAAAAGCAGAACAUCAAAGGCCUGCCGGGUUAUUAAAGCCACUAGAGACACCAGAUUGGAAAUGGGAAGAUCUAUGUAUGGAUUUUAUUACUGGUUUGCCUAUGACACCAAAAAAGAAGGAUGCUAUAUGGGUUGUGGUCGACCGACUCACUAAGUCAGCACACUUCAUUGCCACAAACCAGAAAUAUUCCUUUGAUAAGUUGGCUGAACUGUACUUAGAGAGGAUAGUUACCCUCCAUGGUGUGCCAAAGACCAUAACAUCUGACCGAGGUUCCGUGUUUACAUCAAGCUUUUGGAAGAGCCUACAGAAGUCUCUUGGAACUGAGCUACACUUUAGCACAGCUUAUCAUCCCCAAACCGAUGGCCAGACAGAGCGGGUAAAUCAGAUCCUUGAGGAUAUGUUGAGAGCAUGU
rnacentral:rRNA from 1 species